GGACACUGAGAGAUUAGGCAACUUCUCUGCACAGUUUCAAAAUGACUGAAGUAUGUUACAACACAGCCUACUCAAGAGCCUGGAUGUUUUAGCUCUAUGCUACACUACAUCUACUGGACCUAGUUAUGCUUAUCAGCCAUUUCCUUUACCAAAGACAGCUCCUUACUUUCUGCCUACCCACUGAAUACAUGGAUGUUUCACACUAACUUUGGAAUCCAAAGUGGUUUUGCCCAAGGAGACUCAGUUUUCAGCAAGGCUGUCAUCUGAUUCUGGUGGGGUCCUGUGGCUCAAACCUGACUCAACAGCAUCAGCCCGUGGGGUGCGUUGUUUAUGUCUGGAGGUUGGAGACAACAUCAUCGGGCAAAGUCAAGGAAAUCUGCAUCACCCAAGGCACUGGUUCCUAACAAGGCUCAGACUGGCCAUUGCCUGGCCUGCUAACCCUGAAUAAACUCAUGAAAUGAGUGAGCUUGCAGCAUAGAACAAAUUUACCCACAGGUCCUCUUCUCCCCUCAUUUCCAAGGCCCUGCCCACUACCAUUCCAACUUCCGUACAGCUCCCAACCUCUUCCUUUUCCCUCUGAUUCUAGAUGACAGACUCACUUUUGUCAGAGUGUCAAUAAUUCACUGUUUUCCCUUUUCAUUAGAAGAAGUGCUUCAGUAAAAAUAAUGCCAA
rnacentral:lncRNA from 1 species